GAUGAACGCUGGCGGCGUGCCUAAUACAUGCAAGUCGAGCGAACGGACGAGAAGCUUGCUUCUCUGAUGUUAGCGGCGGACGGGUGAGUAACACGUGGAUAACCUACCUAUAAGACUGGGAUAACUUCGGGAAACCGGAGCUAAUACCGGAUAAUAUUUUGAACCGCAUGGUUCAAAAGUGAAAGACGGUCUUGCUGUCACUUAUAGAUGGAUCCGCGCUGCAUUAGCUAGUUGGUAAGGUAACGGCUUACCAAGGCAACGAUGCAUAGCCGACCUGAGAGAGUGAGCGACCACCCGGGAACUGAAACAGGGUCCAGACUCCUACGGAGGGCAGCAGUAGGGAAUCUUCCGCAAUGGGCGAAAGCCUGACGGAGCAACGCCGCGUGAGUGAUGAAGGUCUUCGGAUCGUAAAACUCUGUUAUUAGGGAAGAACAUAUGUGUAAGUAACUGUGCACAUCUUGACGGUACCUAAUCAGAAAGCCACGGCUAACUACGUG
rnacentral:rRNA from 1 species